rnacentral:lncRNA from 1 species
AGAACAAAUAAUUUCAAAAAGAAAGCCAACAUCAGUGAAAGAAAAGAUAAACAAAUCAUCUCUUUCUCUAGUUCGUAAAGAGUAUCUACCUUAAGCCUCAGACACACAUUUCCUUACUCUUUCAACCCAAGCCCGAAAAAGCUCCAGGCGUGAGAUUAUAAAGCGAACCCAUUCUAUUUCUGAAGAUUUGAGGCAGCAAAUGACAAUUCACCACAAGUGAAUAAUCACAUAAUACAGAGUUACCCUUUGAAAUAAUUAACAAUUCUACCAGCAUAAAGACACAAAGUUAAUAGACAUUUGAAAAAGCAAAAGGUGAUUCAAAUAGCAGUUGUCGUACAUCCAAAGCAUCUCAAUUGAAUGUGUGUCACUCCAGUUAGAUAUGUAAAUGCAACGUACUUCAUGUGUUGUAGAGGUAAUUCUAAAUUGAAUUUGAAUCGUGUCCUUAAAUGUAAUUCAAUUAUGUUAAAAUGGAUCAAUGCUGAAACCACAUCAAAAGGGCAGAUGGCUCUCUUCUUUUUCGUUUGACAGGAGAAAAGCAUAAUGUACUCCCUCCUCCCAUUUUACUGUUCCCAAAUUGGGAUGGCUAUUAAGAACCUGGCUAAGUUUACCGUAGUACUCCUAUUAAAUGUUGUUUACAUUUUAAUUUAAAGAAAAAGUAAUUAAUAAUAUGAAAAAAAAACUAUCUUGUCUUAAUAAGUAAAAAAGGACAAGUAAAGUGGGACAUCAAAUUAAAAAAUUUGGGACGGAUAAAAUAGGACGGAGGGAGUACUUACCAAUGCCUUUUCCUUUGGUAGAUAGACAUUUGGGGUGUGUUUGGUAUGAAGGAAAUGGAAAAUAUUUUCCUUGAAAAUGUUUUCCUAGAAAACAAGUUGAUUUGUUACUUGUUUUCUUAUAUUUGGUUGGUGGAUGAAAAAUAUUUUUCAAAAAAUAUUUUCUAGUAUUUGGUAGGUG